rnacentral:rRNA from 1 species
AUGGAUGAUCUGCCAGAUGGUGAAGGGCAAUCUGAUAUACACUCUACUGACGCAAAUUGGCUGUCCUCACAUGAAGAGCAUAAGUUCCAAUCCAUUUCCUUGGCUAAGCAGGACCACAAUUCGGAUUUGGCAGAUUCUUCUCUUAACUGUAUGAAAGGUGACCAUUCAUUUUGCGCUUCUCAGGAAUUAUGGUCUACUGGAUCUCUAUCGAGUCCAAUACCCAAUGGAUUUUACUCAAUUAUACCGGAUAAGAAACUGAAGGAGUGUUUUGACGCCAUUCCUUCUCCUGAUGAUCUAUAUUCCCUUGGAAUAGAGGGCUUCAAGGCUGAGAUAAUUCUUGUGGACUUAGAGAAGGAUAAAAAGCUAUCUGCGAUAAGGCAGCUAUGUGUAGCUCUGGUAAAAGGAUUGAGUUCUAACCCAGCCGCAAUGAUAAAAAAGCUUGCAGGUUUGGUUUGUGACUUCUAUAAGCGACCAAAUCCACAGCUCAGCCCUGCAAGAACUUCUUCUGAAGAAAAUUUUCAUUUCAUGGAAAACAAGGGAAUUCAAUUGUUGGGGCAGAUAAGACAUGGAUCUUGUCGGCCCAGAGCAAUUUUAUUUAAAGUCCUUGCUGACUCUGUUGGUAUAGAUUCUAAGCUGUUGGUGGGCAUUUCAGAUGAAGAAUCUCAUGAACACGAUGACUCACCCAAACAUAUGUCUGUUGUUGUUAUGCUGAAGUCCAUGGAGUUUCUCGUUGAUCUAAUGCGUUUUCCAGGACAACUAAUUCCAUUCUCAUCCAAUGCUAUAAUCACAUCCCAUAUAUCUGCUGCUGGAGAGAGUGACUCUGCUGACUAUGAUUCUUGUGAUUCUCCUCUUGAACCGAAUAGUCCUUUGUGCUCUCAACGGCAAGAGCAAGAUGAAAACAAUAGGUCAUUUAAAGUUCCGUCCCUAAGAGACAUCAUGCACCGAACUUCAAACUCUAUGGAGGGCAAAUUGAGAUGUGUUCACGUUUCAGAAUUACCUUUUUAUUUUUCCAUUUCAUGGUUUACAAGUUCAUCACAUAGUGAACCAAAUGUUGCCAAUGCCUUAUGUGGACGCCGUGGGAGGAAAGCUAAUGAACAUCAAAGAACUGCCAGUUCAAGUCCAGACCAUCCAUUGUCCAGAGCACAUGGGCGCUCAAACUUGGGUGACAGACAGUACGGAGAUGGUGUAGCUGUAUCAAGGUCAGAUGGUGCAUCAACGUCAAGUGCGCGGAGAGGACGUCCAAAAAGUAUGAGUACAUCCCCUGAAAUUGGUGAUGACUUUGCGAGGGCAGUUAAAGAAAUGAGUGAAAGCAUGAGGAAAAAUCGCCAUUCAAGGGCACAUAAUGAUGGUAGUCCAGGACAUUCAAAUGAUUCACAGAGAAAAGAGGAAUCAGUAGGUGACCUCAACGAUGAUGAGGUGUCAGUAAGAGAACCAAAUGUUCAGGAGGGUUCAAGAAGGCACAUUAUUACUCAGAAGGCAUUGUCAUUACCUUCAUCACCGCAUCGGUUAGGUAACCAUGGUUCUAAUCUUAGAGAGCCAGCUGACUUCCUUACAGCAGAAGAUCUGAUGUCCACUUGGAAUAAAGCAUUGCAAUCUUCACCAUUUCUGAACAAGCCAUUAUUGCCUUUUGAAGAAUGGCAUAUUGGGUUCUCAGAGAUUGCUGUUGGCACUCGUGUUGGAAUAGGUUUUUUUGGGGAAGUUUUCCGUGGCAUCUGGAAUGGAACAGAUGUAGCUAUAAAAGUAUUUCUGGAGCAAGAUUUAACAAUGGAGAAUAUGGAAGAUUUCUGCAAUGAGAUCUCCAUACUUAGCCGUCUCCGACAUCCCAAUGUCAUAUUGUUCCUUGGUGCAUGUAUGAAGCCUCCUCACUUAUCCCUAGUCACUGAAUAUAUGGAAAUGGGUUCCUUGUACUAUUUGAUUCACACAAGUGGCCAGAAAAGUAAGAUCAGUUGGCGAAGGAGGCUAAAAAUGCUCCGUGAUAUCUGUAGGGGUCUUAUGUGUAUGCACCGUUUGAAGAUAGUUCAUCGUGAUCUAAAGAGUGCGAAUUGCCUUGUUAACAAGCACUGGACAGUCAAGUUAUGUGAUUUUGGGCUCUCUCGGUUAUUGUCGAAUUCUGCAAUGAGUGACAACUCAUCUGCAGGCACUCCAGAGUGGAUGGCUCCUGAGCUUAUUCGUAACGAACCAUUUACAGAAAAGUGUGAUAUCUUUAGCCUCGGAGUUAUCAUGUGGGAGCUUUGCACUCUGAGUAGGCCCUGGGCAGGAAAGCCGCCAGUUCAGGUUGUUUACUCUGUUGCGAACGAAGGGGCAAGAUUGGAAAUACCAGAUGGACCUUUGGGUAGCUUGAUAGCAGAUUGCUGGACAGAACCGGAGAAGCGACCAAGCUGCCAGGAGAUCCUGACCCGUUUGCUUGAUUGCGAGUACACCUUAUGUUGA